rnacentral:rRNA from 1 species
AUUGAACGCUGGCGGCAUGCUUUACACAUGCAAGUCGAACGGCAGCGCGGGCUUCGGCCUGGCGGCGAGUGGCGAACGGGUGAGUAAUACAUCGGAACGUGCCCAGUAGUGGGGGAUAGCUCGGCGAAAGCCGGAUUAAUACCGCAUACGACCUGAGGGUGAAAGCGGGGGAUCUUCGGACCUCGCGCUAUUGGAGCGGCCGAUGGCAGAUUAGCUAGUUGGUGGGGUAAAGGCCUACCAAGGCGACGAUCUGUAGCUGGUCUGAGAGGACGACCAGCCACACUGGGACUGAGACACGGCCCAGACUCCUACGGGAGGCAGCAGUGGGGAAUUUUGGACAAUGGGCGAAAGCCUGAUCCAGCAAUGCCGCGUGUGUGAUGAAGGCCUUCGGGUUGUAAAGCACUUUUGGCGGGAACGAAAAGGACUGUGCCAAUACCACGGUUCGACGACGGUACCCGCAGAAUAAGCACCGGCUAACUACGUG